rnacentral:lncRNA from 1 species
CAACAGCCUUUCCUACUUCAGGGGCUGGUUUACUUCAUGCACUUUCUGGUUUUUGAGUUUCAGGGCUCUCACCUAGAGAAGCUUUGGGGACGAUGGAGGAUGGAAAACUGGGUAUGAGAAGCUUCAGGAAGAGCCAUGACACCCCCCUUCCCACCCCCAAAUGAGAUAAUCUAAGAGGGAGGACCUGCAUCUCCAUGGCACCUCACUCUGAUUUGCGAGGAUUCGACCAGAGAAAUUGUUCUCAAGAGUGUGAAUUAUGUGGCAGCUUCUAUUUUAUGGUACCUCGCUAUCCACUUUGUAAGAGCACUGUCCUAUGAGCAAAAACUGCAGACAUCUUUGAGCGAUAGAAGAGACAACUGAGCUGGGGGCCAGUUCAGUGUGGACCUACAUUUCAACCACCAUGAUGAAGGUUUGGGACUGUUAUGGUCACAUUUGCUUUUUGCUCUUUAUAAUACUGAGAUAUACUUGUGAG